rnacentral:rRNA from 2 species
AGAGUUUGAUCCUGGCUCAGGACGAACGCUGGCGGCGUGCCUAACACAUGCAAGUCGAACGGAGAAUUUCAAAGAGCUUGCUCUAAGAGAUUUUUAGUGGCGGACGGGUGAGUAACGCGUGGGUAACCUACCCAUAAAGCCGGGACAACCCUUGGAAACGAGGGCUAAUACCGGAUAAUCUUAAGUCUUGGCAUCAAGGCAUAAGGAAAGGUGGCCGAUGAGAAUGCUACCGAUUAUGGAUGGACCCGCGUCUGAUUAGCUGGUUGGUGGGGUAAAGGCCUACCAAGGCGACGAUCAGUAGCCGGCCUGAGAGGGUGAACGGCCACACUGGGACUGAGACACGGCCCAGACUCCUACGGGAGGCAGCAGUGGGGAAUCUUCCGCAAUGGACGAAAGUCUGACGGAGCAACGCCGCGUGUAUGAUGAAGGUCUUCGGAUUGUAAAGUACUGUCUUUGGGGAAGAACGAAGUACUUGAGAAAAUUGAGUACAAAUGACGGUACCCAAGGAGGAAGCCCCGGCUAACUACGUGCCAGCAGCCGCGGUAAUACGUAGGGGGCAAGCGUUGUCCGGAAUUAUUGGGCGUAAAGGGCGCGUAGGCGGAUAAUUAAGUCCGGUGUGAAAGAUCAGGGCUCAACCCUGAGAGUGCAUCGGAAACUGGCUAUCUUGAGGACAGGAGAGGAAA